CGCUCCGCUCCGCUCCCUCACCCGCGUUGCCGCUGCCGGGUUGGCCACGCUGGCCUCGGUUGCUGUAGCGAGCUCCCCGCCGCCUCGGUUUUUGUGACGCCUAAAUCCGAGGCCCGUUUCCACGCCGAAUCAUUCUUUCGGUCAAGAAGUCCCAGAAGACAAGGUCUUGCAGGUGACCUUAUGCCCACCUUCUGGCAUUACCCUGAUGAGCUCCCUGCGCUGAUACACUUGAGAGGGCAACGACGAAAGCAGAUCUGAGCUAUGGGGCUGCGGACGGGGGCUGUUCUGGCAGCACUGACCAGUCCAACUCUUGCGGAACAGCCUCCCCCUACACGGAGCAAGGCUCUCACCUGCAAUCCACAGGCAGUUUCUCUCCUGGCCCAGUACCAGAGAUAGGUCCACCAAGCCCUUUGUCACUUUUCAUUUCUAGGCGCAGGCAUCUCUGUACACGUACAUCAGUUACUUCAGAAUGGUGCGUAACAUCCUUGAAAAUGUUCAGGUUAGAACCAAAGUUUUGGCUUUAAAGGCUUACAACUUGAAGUAGCUUAGCUGAAUUUACAAGGUCUUUAUCCUUACAGCUGACAAGUUUGAGUUCUGCAUGCACAAAAAGCUGCCUUCUUCCUGAAUUCAACUAUAUUUACUUAGCGUGCCUAAAGGACAAAAUGAAUGUAGGAUGUUAUAGCUGCUCAACAAUAGACUUACCCUGACCUGGAAAGCUGGUUAUUAAAAUUUUGGUUUAUUGA